rfam:Heterocephalus glaber contig149453, whole genome shotgun sequence.
GAAUGUGAGGGCGAUCUGGCUGCAACAUCUGUCACGCCAUUGAUCGCCAGGGUUGACUGGGCCGAUCUGGCUGACUAGGCCGAUGUCCCUCCCAAAGCUGCAUUCUCAGUCCAAGGGGACGAACACCCCCGAUAGAGGAGGACCGUUUCCUCAGUCAAGGGUAUAUUAGUAGCUGCGCUCUCCUGCUAGAACCUCCAAACAAGGUUCCAAAAAUAGGAAUUAGUUAAAAGUAUGACUAUGAAAGAAAUUGGUCUUAUCUAAAAAUGGGUUGGAAAGUCUGAACUGUGAGUAUAGUUU